UUAUUGAUUUCUCUUAGUGUCCGUUUCCCCCCUAAGCUCGUCGUGAGCGGCGAGGGAGCCCACCAACUCCGUCGUGUUCUACUCUCCCUAGCGCUUACGUACGGUGCUCCUUCCCGUCGAAGACAGGUUCCGCUUUUCCCUUCCCGGACCACCCAGCACACCUCGCCCAGCCUCUACUACUCCUCCGAGACCAGCGGCAGCCCCCUCCCGUUGCUCCAGCCUAUCAGGAAGGAGCCCGUGCAUCCGGAACCAGAAGUCGCCCUUUAGCGGGACUCCGUCGGCGACCUAGAAGCCCAGAAGAUUAAGGAACUUGCACCCCCUUAGCCGCUGUGCAGCUGAAAUGGCUGGUGAGUUUUGGGCUGCUCCUGCCUUUCCCUGAAGAGUCGCCACGGCAACCGACGAGUCCAGCCCACCCGAAACUCACUCGGCUCCGGGAACAGCUCCAACUCAUCAGUUCGACACGAAGGGGGAUCCGUUCAUAUUGGUUCUAUAGAAUGUAAGCUCGUUGUGGGCUAGGAAUUUGACUGUUUAUUCUCAUACUGUAGUUUCCCAAGCACCAAAUACACAGCUCCCCUUGCGCUUAGUGUGCUCAAUUGCGCUCAAUAAAUGUGAACGAAUGAUUAAAUUA